CAUAUACUUUCUUCAUCUCAAAAUUCUUGUCUUAAAUUCGUUUAGAUAUGAAUGUAUCUACUCAAGUUUUAGUAUUUAGAUAUAUUCAUUUAUAGACAAAGUUAAGACAAAAAAUUUAGGACGAAGGAAGUACAUG
rnacentral:pre_miRNA from 1 species